UUAUUUUUCUUCUGCGCGACCAUAAAGCAGGGGACGCUUUAGGGGCGGGGCUACAGCUGAUUGACAGGUCGACGCCCCUACCAGAGACGGAUACCGCCCACUUCACUGUUUUUCAUUCCAAAAGUAACUUCCGUUUAUUGGUUGCGAAGUAAAUUGAAUAAAUUAGACGAUAAUAUUAAAGGGGCAGUGUGCCGGAUGUGGCGCCAUCUAGAGGUCGCCGAUGGAAAACGUUCUUAUUGACUUCUUCCUCCUUUUGUGCCGAUAGUUCGCCAUCAAUGCCACACACUGUUCCUUUAAUCACUGUUUCCUUGAGUUUACGAUCCCACUUGGCACACGAGAAGUUCCAGUUGGUUGCAUUCUGCAAGCUCCCCACUAGAUGGCGCCAAAGCCACCGCCACACACGCUUUAACCACCGGGGCUAAAAACAUGUCGAGAAAAACGUUGUUUUUUAACCGCUGGCGACGUGCGGUGGCGUUUCCUUUCCGCAGAAGGAGGAAGGCGAGCCGGACGUGGUGGAGUUCGACCUCUUGGGGAAGGACUCCAUCAAGAUGCCCGUGGAGAAGAGGACCUCCAUCCUGAACAAGCACCUGCAUGACUGAUGGCCUGACGGCCCAAGUCUUCCGCCCCCCCACAGCAGCUCGAGGACCUCGCCUGCCAAGGAAAAUACGAGGGAAGAAAAAAUCAAAGUGUGAAGCAGCAAUGAGGCGAACGGCCCUCCUCCUCCAGGAGGAGUCCAUGAGGG